rnacentral:misc_RNA from 1 species
UUAAGUUCAGCGGGUAUUCCUACCUGAUCCGAGGUCAAAACGAGAUGGCUGUUUAACGGCCAUGGGGUUUGAGGACCAGCGCCGAUCGGGUCUAUGGAGUGAUGAUCAGAUGCCCAUACACUCAGACACCAGUAACUCGGUGCUGCCACUGCAUUUCAGGCCCGUCCACGGGGGACGAAGGCCCAACACACAAGCCGCGC